ACAGUACAAACUGAUCAGGCGGGGCGCACUUUUUAUAAGCGAUCGCAGCCGGGCCCUUUCGGGCAGCAGAUGAAUGAAAUGGUGAAGCAUCUGCGGGACAGUU
rnacentral:ncRNA from 14 species